rnacentral:rRNA from 1 species
UACGUAGGGCGCAAGCGUUGUCCGGAAUUAUUGGGCGUAAAGAGCUCGUAGGUGGCUUGUCACGUCGGGUGUGAAAGCUUGGGGCUUAACUCCAGGUCUGCAUUCGAUACGGGCUGGCUAGAGGUAGGUAGGGGAGAACGGAAUUCCUGGUGUAGCGGUGAAAUGCGUAGAUAUCGAGAGGAACACCUGCGGCGAAGGCGGGUUGCUGGGCUGACACUGACGCUGAGGCGCGAAAGCUAGGGGAGCGAACGGG